rnacentral:misc_RNA from 1 species
CAACGUUUGCCGUCCGGCGUGCCGAUUCACGCUCUCUGUCGUAUCAAUCGAAUUUUGACUGUAUUUUGAGCAAGUUCAAGCACGCCGCGCUUAUUGAAAGGCUAUUUAUUCGAUUGCUACUUAACGCUAUUUUACGACGUUUAUCUUUAUAAGCGCAUACCCAACGGAGCCGUGUUAGUUGCGAAUCUCGCUACCCUUCGUUCACGACAUAAAGACGUUUUCUUAUAAACCGAAAGGAAAAUCGACAGAGACUGCGAGAUCCGUCGCGCAGCUUCUUCAACGGCAUUUAUAAGGAGCAACAUUUUAUUUAGCAUCAGCAUAGAGCAGCAGGCGUCAGAGCAUAUUAGCGAUCCGUAAGACGGAGAGAGAGCCGAUGCGAUAUUAUAGUAUAAGCAGAGUGUCCUUAGUCUGCUCUUCAAAGAUAUUUGAACAUAAACAACGCGAGAGACAGUCCUAUCUCUGUCCACGUUGUAUACAGUAUAAUACAUUGGAAUAAAAAUAUUAUAACGCUCUCGGCACGCCGCUAUUAUAAUACAAUUAAAAUCACUCGCGUAUUAUAUGUAUUUAUCAUACAUAUAAUAAACUGACAAUUUCGUAUUAUAAAAUCGAAAUUCGGCAAAUUUCGAGAUCUAUCACGUAUAUGAGAUAUACAGAUUGUACACAGGAGCCAUCGACGUUCUAAGUUAAUAAUUAUUGUUCAGGAAUCGAUUCGAUAAAUUCAAUUUCUCUCUCUCUUUCUUUCGGUUGUUUCGUUUUCACUUUUGUGUGCUGUUACCAACAAAACCGAAAGACUCUUCCAGAGCGAGGAAGCUUAAAACCUAAUCUCGUGAUCCUUAAAAAUCAUCCAUCAGAUUCGGACGAAAAAGUAAAUCUAAUAAAGUGGCUGUGAAAAAGUCGUCAAACGAGCGUCGCAAGAGCGUGCGCGUCAAAAUGAGUCUGAAGCAAACGUCAAACGCCGUAGCAAACACACUCAGAUUAUUGAGCCUCAUCCAUCAGCGACCGCAGCUUCAGCAUCAGCAGCAAGAAAAACAGCAACAGCAGCUUCAGUAUCAACAGCAAGAAAAUCAGCAACAGCAGGUAAACCGUCGGAAGCGCAAACGUCAGGGGAAACGACGUGCGCGGACGUCUGGUCAGCAGCAGCAGCAGCAGCAGCAGCAGCAGCAGCCGCAGCAACCGCAGCAAGAACAGCCGCAGCAGAAGAAGCAGCAGCAGAAAAAGCAACAGCGACACCGCCGACAACGACGUCGAUCACGGGUCGGUCCAAGGGGUGCACCGAAGCUCGAUUUGACCCUAGCUCAGCAAACCAAACCUUAUCAUAGGAUUAAGCGUGCGGCUAAGGAUCAACCCCGACCCAUUAGCUGGCUCGCUUUUCGAGACGACGCGAUUAUCUCUAUGUCGAUCGGCGGUGAAGUAACCGACGCCUCGAUCGUCGAGGUUGGCCGCUCGAGACCUCAAUACCAGUACAGCCGAGAGGAGCUCAUGAAAAUCAAGUUGCUACCCAGGUCCAAUCGCAAACCCGACUGCCUUGAUUCCAGCUAUUUCAACGCCCGUGGGGUUUGGGACCCGGAACGCUGGCACGAGUCGCGUGGACGAAACGAGCGAUCCGUCACCAGCUCGAUGGUGUCCUCGAACACGUCCGGAAUCGGCACGAACAGCGAUGACAGCACAAAGCCGCGACGCAGUGGUGACCCUCGCGAGAGGAUUCGCAAAGAACAGGACGGCAUCGUCCUAAGUCCCCAACGUCGGAGCUUUAAUUCUGGCUGCUUUGUUAACGUCACGGAGGCUAGCGCGACAACCGUCACCGUCAAGCGUUCAGUUAGCCCCAUCGGCAAAGCUGACGUCAGACUGUCUGCAGAGCUGAGCCAUCGUGACGCUACCAGGCGCAUCGGGAGCGGGCGUAUUCUCACUCGAGACCUCUCUCGUGACAUGUGGGACUUCCGGAGUGACGCUGAAAAGCAUGAAUCGGAUUACGGCUACAGAUCGAGCGAUCGUGAUCGCGACCGAAACAUCGGUGGUGGAUUGCGUGAUCGCGAUCGUGAUCGAGAUCGCGAUGAUCGCUUUGAAAGGCGUUCCUUUGGUCGCGAUUACGACCGUGCCGGAGAUCGUGCAGGAGAUCGUGAUCGUCUCGACCGUAACGACAGGGACAAGGAUCGGCGAGAACGUCGAAGCUACGGCGAUCGCGAUCGUGACCGUGAUCGUGAUCGUCGCCGUACUUUCAGUGAUAACCGUGAUGAAGAGCCUGAGUGGUUCAGUUCAGGACCGACUUCUCAACACGACACCAUUGAAUUGCGUGGUUUUGACGACAUACCAGAGGAAAAGUCUAUCUCGUCUUCUGCUAAGAACAAAAAACAAUCGCCUGCCCAGAAAAAGCGCAACAAAAAGAUAACUUAUGAAAAAGAGGAAAAAGCUGCUGCUGCGGCUGCGGCUGCAGCUGCGGCCGCUGCUGCCGCCUCCACUGCUCCGUCUCAAGGGACAGCCAAUAACAAACACGAUGGCGGUACUGGUGGUAUCAAAGGUCGUAAUACACCAACAUCUUUGGAUAACUCGUCUUCAACUGCUGCGGCACACUCACCUGUUUCGAAGCAAGACGAUUCUAACAGCCAGAAAGAAAAGUCGAAUGAUUCAAGCAAAGUGUCUAAUGCUUCUUCCGAAGCAGCUUCAGCUGAUUCUGAUAAAAAAGACUUCAAAGAUAACAACUUCAAUCUCGAAGAGUUCCUCCAAGCUGAUACUGUGGACCUUCUUUCUAACGGGGCUGGAGCAGGUGAAAAGUCGGGUUCGCGUUUCAGUCAGUGGUUCCAGCGAGAAAGUCCGCCGCUGUCAAAUCAACAAAACCAACAAAUGGACCCUAUGCGGUCCUCUAUUCAAGAAGAACUUCUGAAUAAUUUGCUCAACGAUUCAUCUGAGAAAAUACCAUCGGUGACUGAAUCUAGUGCUUUCUUUGCUCCAAUCGCACCAGCUGCCAAUACUCCUGCCAUGUCUCAGCAUCGUCAUUCUCAACAACCAUCAGAUGGUACAGGAUUUAAAUUGCUUGAAAUGUUGCAAAGAAAUAAUAAGCCUAGUCAAAAUGGUCAAGGUGAUGCAGCAGGAAACAAUCUUAUGUCCAUGCUUAAUAAGAAUCCACCCAAAGAAAUGGGUGGUGGAGCUAAGAAGAUUGUUAGUCUUGAGGAAUUAGAAGCUCGAAUGCGAGGCGGUAUGCCUUCACAACAGUCUGAGCCACCGAAACCAAAUAAAUCCAAAGAAGAUAUGACUGCUUUCAAAAAAUUGCUUGCUCAAGUAAGUGGUGGACAAGCAGUACCUGCAACUAAUGGCCCAGGUCCUCAGCAAAAACAUCAGAUGCCUCCUCAAAAUAUUCAACCCAUGACUUUGAUGCAGCUUUUGAAUUCUCAAAUGAAAAAUCCUCAACCACCAGUAAUGACACCUCAGCAAGUAGCCCGCUCACCGUCCGAGCCUCCUAUGCCAGUACCACAAUCAUUCAACCAUGUAGGUCCCUUGGGACCGGUACAAAAUCAUCAUCAAUCUCAAAUGCAGCAUGAAAAUCUGAUGAAAGUACUGCAUAUUCAACAACAGCAACAACAGCAACAUCAACAUCAACAUCAACAUCAACAUCAACAAAAACAACGACAGCAUAAUGAAAUGUUGUCAAUGAUGAUGCAAAAUGCAGCACAGCAGCAGCAGCAACAACAUCACCAGAGAAUGAUUGGCGCUAGUCCCUUACCACCUGAUAUACAAAUGUUAGUUAAUAAUGCUUCAGUAACAAGAGAACUGUUGGCUAGACCUGAAGCUGAAGCUAUUAUCACUGGUAUGCAUCGAGGUGAAAUAACUAGGCAACAUCUUGUUCAGCAACUACAACAAAAUCCUGCUAUGCAGCACCGUCACAGAGAAGUUUUGGCUAGUAUUCUAAAAAUCCAUGGUGGUAUGACACCACGUACUACUAGUCCUCAUUCAAAUGCUCCUAUGCCUCAAGAUCCAAUGUUGCAACAAAUGAUUUAUCAACAACAGCAGAGGAUGACGUCACCAUUGAAUAACAUGAUGGGUGCUCGUGUACCAUCGCCGCGAGAAUUAGUAGCCCACUCUCAGAAUAUACUACAAAAUGCUUUGAUGAAGAAAAAGUUGGAAGAACAAAACUAUCGUAAACGUCAAGACCUACACCCGUCAGGGCCAAAUCCUUCGGCCAAUCCACAAAGAUCUGCUACUCCAGUAAAUAUUCCAGCUAAGCCAUCAAUCAGUCCAACGCCGUUAGCAUUCACACCAACUUCGGUGUUAAGGAAAAUGACUGCUGACAAGGAACCAGAGGUAUCAGCAGUUGGAUGUGGGUUGCAAGAUGUUAUUAAACUGCCGACCCCACAGCAUCAACAGCAAAUGCUCGCUCAGUUAGCACGGCAGCAUCCAAUGCAACAGCGGCCAGCUGGUACGCCUUCUGGUCAGCAACCGCCUUUGCCACCACCAUCACAGCCACAACAACCGCCAAAACAACAACCACCACAACCACAGCAACAGCUAUCCAACUGGGCUGUUGGUCCUAAUUCUCAAAUCAAGCAACAUCCUGGUCGACCGAUCGUCAAAGGAAGUACAUCGUCACAGAUGUCGCAAGCACAAGGACCUCAACAACAGCAACAGCAGUCAAUGCCCUCGCAAUUUCCGUAUGAAUUCUCACAACAGCAGCAGCAACAACAACAACAACAACAACAACAACAACAACAGCAACAGCAACAGCAACAACAACAACAGCAACAGCGUAACCCUCAAGGCAUAUUUGGUAGCAACGUGCGAUCAAAACACACCUUGCCACCCCAACAACCACAGUUCCCACCUCAGCAAUCGAAUCAUCAACGAGCGCCACAGCAACAACCAGCGCAAGUUGAUUCAAUUAAACAGAUGCAGCGUAUAAGUAUGCAAAUGCAAGAGGAACUAGUUAUUCAACAACAACAGCAGCAACAGAUGAGAAUUAAUAGUCAGCAAAAUGUGAGACAAGAAUUUCAUUCGAGACAAGGAAUAAUAAUGCAAAUGAAUUCUUUAGCACGCAACACGUCUAAAUAACAAGAUCCUCUUACCUGUUCACUUAACUAUUCCUACACUUCGCUUAUUUAAAUAAUAGACCAAUGCGCCCGCAACAAUUGAAUAUUUCAAUCAAUCGAAAUCAGAAUUCAGCUCUGUCGAAUUUCUUGGGUGGC